rnacentral:rRNA from 1 species
AUACGGAGGGUGCAAGCGUUGUUCGGAAUCACUGGGCGUAAAGGGCGCGCAGGCGGUUUGGUAAGUCAGAUGUGAAAGCCCACGGCUCAACCGUGGAAGUGCAUUCGAAACUGUCAGACUUGAGUACUAGAGGGGAAAGUGGAAUUCCCGGUGUAGAGGUGAAAUUCGUAGAUAUCGGGAGGAAUACCGGUGGCGAAGGCGACUUUCUGGCUAGAUACUGACGCUGAGGCGCGAAAGCGUGGGGAGCAAACAGGAUUAGAAACCCUAGUAGUCC